GCCGAGUUGGGUAACUUCAACUUGUAACCCAAGUGGGGGCAUGAAGGUGAUGGAACAUGGCUUAAGAUUUGCCAGGUUGGGUUGGUGGCUGCACCAUGCUGGCCUGCCCACUCCAAGUUGAGAGUUGGCCAAUGUGACCUAGGCGAAGGCUUGAGUCUCCUUGGUCCUAGACUGGAGGGCACUGUGUGAGGCUGGUUUCACAGAGCAGCAAACACCUCCGUCUCUUGACAGUGGAGGGAUAACUGGCCGCUGCACUUCUAGUCCAAUAUGCCUGGUGAGCCUAGCCACCUGAACCACCACUUUU
rnacentral:SRP_RNA from 2 species